AAGUUGCAAAGCACUUUGAAGAGAGAGUUAAAGAGGACGUGAAACCGGUGAGGUGGAAACGGAUAGAGUCGGCGUAUCUUGUAAGUAUUCAUUUACAUUCAGCUGUAUUUUUUAGCUUUGAGCUCCAGAUUGGGACAGAGUUGAAUUAUAUGAUUGUUUGUGAUGCAUUUACUUGCUUGGUGCGUGGGGAUUUCUGAGACAGAUUUGUAACCUUCAUUUUGAGGCCAGCUUGCUGGUACCCAAAUGUCGUUAGCAAUUUUUGUUUUAGUUGUAAAAAAAGUAUGGCUUUUCGUUCAUUACGUGGAUCGUUCUGGGUGUAAGUAACGGUCGCAUGCGACACGUGCUUUUCAAUUAGUUCGGUCUGUUUAAUGUUCUCAUACUUGUUCCCCAUGUAAAAGCCGGUCAUCUAUCCGACCCGUCUUGAAACACGGACCAAGGAGUUUAUCGUGUGCGCAAGUUUUUGGGUGUUUAAAACCUAAAGGCGAAAUGAAAGUAAAUGACUCUUCGAGUCUGAUGUGCGACCUUUCACUAUUUUGAAAAGUGCAGCAUGGCCCCAUUCUAACUGUUUACAGUAGGGUGGAGGAAGAGCGUACGCGGUGAGACCCGAAAGAUGGUGAACUAUUCCUGAGCAGGACGAAGCCAGAGGAAACUCUGGUGGAAGUCCGAAGCGGUUCUGACGUGCAAAUCGAUCGUCUGACUUGGGUAUAGGGGCGAAAGACUAAUCGAACCAUCUAGUAGCUGGU
rnacentral:rRNA from 1 species